UCCUACGGGAGGCAGCAGUGGGGAAUUUUCCGCAAUGGGCGAAAGCCUGACGGAGCAACGCCGCGUGAGGGAUGAAGGCCUCUGGGCUGUAAACCUCUUUUAUCAAGGAAGAAGAUCUGACGGUACUUGAUGAAUAAGCCACGGCUAAUUCCGUGCCAGCAGCCGCGGUAAUACGGAGGGGGUUAGCGUUGUUCGGAAUUACUGGGCGUAAAGCGCGCGUAGGCGGAUUAGAAAGUUGGGGGUGAAAUCCCGGGGCUCAACCCCGGAACUGCCUCCAAAACUGCUAGUCUAGAGUUCGAGAGAGGUGAGUGGAAUUCCGAGUGUAGAGGUGAAAUUCGUAGAUAUUCGGAGGAACACCAGUGGCGAAGGCGGCUCACUGGCUCGAUACUGACGCUGAGGUGCGAAAGUGUGGGGAGCAAACAGGAUUAGAUACCCUGGUAGUCCACACCGUAAACGAUGAAUGCCAGUCGUCGGAUAGUAUACUAUUCGGUGACACACCUAACGGAUUAAGCAUUCCGCCUGGGGAGUACGGUCGCAAGAUUAAAACUCAAAGGAAUUGACGGA
rnacentral:rRNA from 1 species